rnacentral:rRNA from 1 species
AGCGAACGCUGGCGGCAGGCCUAACACAUGCAAGUCGAACGAAGCCUUCGGGCUUAGUGGCGGACGGGUGAGUAACACGUGGGAACGUACCUUUUGGUUCGGAAUAACGCAGAGAAAUUUGCGCUAAUACCGAAUGAGCCCUUCGGGGGAAAGAUUUAUCGCCGAAAGAUCGGCCCGCGUUGGAUUAGGUAGUUGGUGUGGUAAAGGCGCACCAAGCCUACGAUCCAUAGCUGGUCUGAGAGGAUGAUCAGCCACACUGGGACUGAGACACGGCCCAGACUCCUACGGGAGGCAGCAGUGGGGAAUCUUGCGCAAUGGGCGAAAGCCUGACGCAGCCAUGCCGCGUGAAUGAUGAAGGUCUUAGGAUUGUAAAAUUCUUUUACCAGGGACGAUAAUGGCGAUACCUGGAGAAAAAGCCCCGGCUAACUUCGUGCCAGCAGCCGCAGUAAGAC